rnacentral:rRNA from 1 species
UACGAAGGGGGCUAGCGUUGCUCGGAAUCACUGGGCGUAAAGGGUGCGUAGGCGGGUCUUUAAGUCAGAGGUGAAAUCCUGGAGCUCAACUCCAGAACUGCCUUUGAUACUGAAGAUCUUGAGUUCGGGAGAGGUGAGUGGAACUGCGAGUGUAGAGGUGAAAUUCGUAGAUAUUCGCAAGAACACCAGUGGCGAAGGCGGCUCACUGGCCCGGUACUGACGCUGAGGUGCGAAAGCGUGGGGAGCAAACAGG